rnacentral:rRNA from 1 species
CCUCCUGCGGGAGGCAGCAGUGGGGAAUUUUGGACAAUGGGCGAAAGCCUGAUCCAGCAAUGCCGCGUGAGUGAAGAAGGCCUUCGGGUUGUAAAGCUCUUUUGUCAGGGAAGAAACGGUGAGAGCUAAUAUCUCUUGCUAAUGACGGUACCUGAAGAAUAAGCACCGGCUAACUACGUGCCAGCAGCCGCGGUAAUACGUAGGGUGCAAGCGUUAAUCGGAAUUACUGGGCGUAAAGCGUGCGCAGGCGGUUUUGUAAGUCUGAUGUGAAAUCCCCGGGCUCAACCUGGGAAUUGCAUUGGAGACUGCAAGGCUAGAAUCUGGCAGAGGGGGGUAGAAUUCCACGUGUAGCAGUGAAAUGCGUAGAUAUGUGGAGGAACACCGAUGGCGAAGGCAGCCCCCUGGGUCAAGAUUGACGCUCAUGCACGAAAGCGUGGGGAGCAAACAGGAUUAGAUACCCCGGUAGUCCCA